CCUACGGGAGGCAGCAGUGGGGGAUAUUGCACAAUGGGGGAAACCCUGAUGCAGCAACGCCGCGUGUGGGAAGAAGGUUUUCGGAUUGUAAACCACUGUUCUUGGUGAAGAUAAUGACGGUAACUAAGGAGAAAGCACCGGCUAACUCCGUGCCAGCAGCCGCGGUAAUACGUAGGGUGCAAGCGAUGCCCGGAUUUACUGGGCGUAAAGGGUGCGUAGGCGGGAUUGCAAGUCAGACGUGAAAUCCACUGGCUCAACCUGAGGACUGCGUUUGAAACUGUGGGGCUUGAGUGAAGUAGAGGUAGGCGGAAUUCCCGGUGUAGCGGUGAAAUGCGUAGAGAUCGGGAGGAACACCAGUGGCGAAGGCGGCCUACUAG
rnacentral:rRNA from 1 species